GAGUUCUUAGAAAGAGAUUGUUCACCCUGAGGUCUGUCACUGGCAGCCAGAGAACUUCAAGCCUCUGUAAGAAGUGUUGAUAGACUAAACAGAGGAAAAGUGCAGAUAACUCAGCACUGCUUCCACACAAACUAACUGUCCUGACUUGGUGGUGGUUGUUGACUUCCUUCUGUCUUACCCAGUCCCAGGCACAGCACGAGAGACGUGUGGAUGGAUAUCUACGUGCUUUUGAAACGCUGAGCCACUUCCAUCAUGACAAGUCCCUUCCUGUUCGUGUCCUGUUUCUUCCAGAGCUGGGAGCUCACCCAGUCAUCAUGUUCAUUAGCACCUGUUGUUGGGAGCUGGACAAGCUGAGGGAACUGACAUCCCACAGAGGAAGUGCUCAUGAGUCACCGAUAGAAUACUAAGCAGCUCUGUCUUCACCUGACAGCUGGGAUUGGGCUGGUGUGGAGAGAAAAAGCUCAAGCUGAGACACCCACCUCACCCCGGGAAAUACUUGCAACACAGAGAAACAAAAGAGUAAAUGGCAGAUAACAAAGAGCUCCUGAGACUGAGAACACCAAACCCAGCAACUCCAAAGAAAAAUAGCUUAAAGACACAAAAGCUAAUUCUCAGAAAGAGCACAGAAGGCAUAAAGUUACACAAAGAAGUUUGGGCUCACUAAUAAAUGAAUCACUAAGUCCUUAAAAAGGCAAACAAGCAGGUACAGUAGAUGUGGUACCUCCAGCCUUUCUUCUUGAUGAUGUUCCCGAGAAUCACCUCAGCCCUGAAGGGGGAGAAGACAAUGUCUUAGAAUGCAGUGUCUCAGAAAAGCAAGAGUCAAGCCAGCACCAGAGCCAUCGCGUUUUUGAACUCUCAGUGCCUGCAGAACCCCAAAAUAGAAGCUCUCUCAGCUGGUAGCACGGUCUCCACUGUUUCUGCUUGUGCCGGCAGAAUCCUGCUCCCAGGCGUUCCAGAAGCACCUGCCAAAUGCUGGUGCUGGCAGGAGACCGCCUGUGGUCCUGACAUAAGAAACAGAGGAGUCAUCUGGCAGCUUGGUCCCACAUAAAAAUAUCCUACUUUGUAGUUUUCAACGAGAGUCAAGGUUUUUCCAUCUAAUUGCGAUGGAGCAAUUUAGUUGUGUCCAGAGGACAAGAGACCUCGGACUGUUGAGACAGAAAACUUUGGUUUCCAGGGGAUCUUGGAAAAAAAGAAUCUAUAUGUGCAUUCAAAUGUUCCCCAAGUCCAACCAUUACAGUGGUCCAUAUGAAAACGUCCUAGGACUGAGUAACAUUUGCCAUAGGACUAAGAUAUAAGGAGACACUACAAAAUACCCUUCCUGUCCCUAAGGCUGGGUUGUGGAAAGGUGUGCUGAAGAUAUCUUAAUAUUCUCUCCCCUUCCACUUCCCCAGGCAGAUUUGCCAAGAUUGAGGAAAGUAAAAUGUCCUCCUCUAUCCCUCCCAGUGAGACCCUGGGCGUGAGAAGCAGUGGAGCUGCUGGAGACUGCAGUGGAGAGGUUAAUGCAGUUAGUACUUUGUUCGUCAGUGAGCCAGAUAUGGAUGCCUUUGCUAACUAUUGUUUUAUGUAAACAAAUGUUGUUUUUAUUAGAGGGUGUAGCCUUCAAGAAAUCAUGAUGCAGCCUAGUUAUGGAGCAUGCUCCAAAUGGACAGACAUUCGAUGGUACUGGAGUCUUUUUCAUUUCUUCUUGUUUGGCUAUCAUUGUAUACAACCUUACAUAGUGAGACCCUAUCUCAAUUCCACAGUGGCCAUCAACCAAUAAUGGUUCAAAUGACUAUCCCUCACAAUAGAAGUUGCGAUCAGGUCUCUAGCAGACUCAGUAUGUUUCCUUUCUCUGCUUUAGUCUGUUUGGUGCUGAGAAAGAUUCAACCAAAGAAACCCCAGAUAAGAGGGCAUGUAAAAAAGAAGCAAGGCUUUACAACUUCUCUUUCUUUUCUUGGACUCAUAAACAAUAGGGAUGUGGAUGCCCAAGUCCUCUGUUGGUCCUCAAGCAUAUACAGGCCCUUGAAAAAGAGGAAACCAAGUAAGAAAAAUGCUCUUAGUUCAUCUGGGGUGGACGGGGCAAGCCUCAGCUCAACUGUAUCUUUCCUGAGGAAGGGGUAGCAGGCCUGCUGUGACCAUACUCCAUAUUUCCCCGAGAGAUCAGCAAGGAUGUCUGCUUCCUUUGCUGAUGGAAGCCAGACAUCCACAUUUAUUCCAGGAGACCAGGGCUCCCUACCUGUUCUAAAAUAUGCUAGUUAUGUUGUGUGGCAUGUACUUAGUGACCUGGCCCAACAGAGCAUCAGCUGUGUGUUCUACUUUAGCAAGCCAUGUUUAGAGUGCCAACUCAACACUCAGGUCCCAAGGAAGUCACUAGAAGUCACUCCUCAACAGAAGUGAGGUCUCUCUGCAGCCUGCUGCCUUCAGAGCAGGCUCUGAAAUGUCCUCUUGUGAAAGUUGUUGGUAUCUUGCCAUCAUCUGGGAAUCACAACUUUCAUAAAUAUGAGCACAGGGACAGAAGGUCAAAUAAUUAGCUAACACCUCUCCGUCUCCACCAUCAUUUCCUCUGGCAUGUUUCUCUUGUGUUUGCCUCCCUUCAGCCCAUUUUUCUUACAGGAAUUGUUUGGGUAGACCAAGAGGAUCCCAGGAUUCAACACUCCCAAUUCUAGUGAUGGGGAGGGCUGAGGAAGAGCACACCUCCUGAGAUAUGCACAAGAGAAGCACCCCCUCAUCCCCAAUGCCACAUCAGUGUGUGGGCACAUCCUCUUGGUUCCAUGGAUGCCAGGUGAGGGGCAGAAACUGGUUCUGACUUACUUCCCAGCGGCAUAGACCUCGGCAGUGUCGAAGAGAUUCACUCCACUUUCAUAGGCAAUCGUCAUCAAUCGUUCAGCAACCUGCAAGAGGAGGCAAAGGUUAGUCAGAAAGGCUGGCAUUGUCUUCCUAGCUGGGAAGCAAUGUUAGAUCUGUUAUCUGCCUUCCAUUCUGAGAUCCCAUUACCACUUCUCAUUUUUCUCAGCUGUAGUGAGUGACAAAAGAAAGACGAUUCAAGCACAAGGCAUGUGGUCCUUCUACCCUCAGACAAAGUAGGCCUUAAGUCCACUUGUGAAUGUGUGUGUGUGUGUGUGUGUGUGUGUGUGUGUGUGUGUGUGUGUGUAGGGGGGCACAGUGGGGGAGGCAGUUGUUGGUCAUUCUCCAAGCACUGUGGUGUUCAGAUAUGUGUUUCCCACCCUGCUGGGAAAACCUUGUUUGAUAACACCCUCAGUGACAUGUAAUCUUGCUGACAAAGAGGGUCAUUUGUAUCAACGCCGACUCCAUCUCUCAACUCCUUCCUGCAAGCCAAUAGUUUCUGGCAGUUGGAUGACUCCUGACCUAAAAGCUUGUGACUUUCCUCCAGGCCCAGCCAACUGUGCUGAUGAAUCAGACCAUCAUGACUGUUGUGAAGCUCCUGGCACCCGCAGUUCAGUGGAACAAUAGGCAUCAUCUUGGAGCUGCUGCUGAGUCAACACAGGGGAGGGAGCAGGCCCCUGACUCACCAGGGAACGGCUCCUCUCUGCUCAGGCUGAACAACUCAGAGCUCCCUGUUCCACUUGUGCUUCUCAGUGCACCUGAGAAGUGUGGCAGGAGAGUAGAUGGCUACCUGUAACCAUCAGCCUGAGGUAUGGCUGUCAUAGCACAAUGGUAAGCAGCCAUGGAGGGGCCUAUCUUGGCUUUGCUGAUUAAUUUAUUAGAAGUUUGAGCAAUUUCCCACCUCACGGAUAAUUACAAUUGAUUUUCCAUUAUGUUCUUUGAUGGUGGACUAACAUCGCUUCAUCAGCGUUUCCAAGAUAGACUGUGUUUCUGGUGUUCUGAAAAUUAGCCUCUCACGACCGUGGAUAGGCUAGUGUGCACAGCCUUUGCAUUACCCACACGAAAGUGGUUGCUGCUUUUAACCUACUGUUACUAAAAUGUCAUCCUUAAGCGGAGCUGAAAAGUAGGGCAAAUACAGUUUCCUCCUUCUGAUUGUCCUGUGUUUUAGAAAUGACUGUGCUUGCAGUAAAAAUUAUUAUGUCAUGUCAUAUGGAGUAUUGAUGGAUUCUUAUUGGGAAAUGUAACAAUGAUAUCUUAUCUACAGAGGAAUUUUGAAAUGGAGAAUUCUGGAUGAACACUUGGAGUGACUAAUAGUAGGAACAUUUCCCAAGCGCAGGAUCUGAAGACCUCAUGUGGAACAUUGGGAAAAACACUGAAUUAAGUCUUCCUAGUGGUAGGAAGUUAAGUCACUGGGAUUCUGUCUCUGUGUUCUUCCUGGUGUGCACUGGUGUGUGUGUGAACACUCAGCCAUGACAGACUGGCUUACUACAGGAUCAAAGUCAACAGAGAUAAAGAAUAUGGAUUGAAAACUCUGAAACUUUUAGGAAAAUUAAGCCUUUGCUCCCUAAAAUUCAAAUGCUUGAGGUCCUUUGUCACAGUGAUGGGACGAGAACACAGUCCAUGAAUGUCCUCUUACUAUACAAAUAAACUUGGGCAAAUCAUUUGGCCUUUGCGGAUUUCAGUUUCUUAUCUGAAAACUGAAGGGGAUUCUAUGAAGGGAUAUCCUCCUCCCCCGUGGAGCCUGGAGGCAACAGGAGAAGCUGACAUCACUUCCUCAACAAAGGCCUAACGGCCUAUAUGCCACGUGGCCAGGAAAAAUCUUGUUGAGAUCUUCACACUAAUGAGAUAUUGCAGAGAAUUCUGGGAAUACCUUUUCCUUCUUCACAAAAUUUCUAGAAACACAACUCUUAUCCUGUUCUUUGUGAGUCUUAAAUAUUCCUGCAUUUAUUUCAUCCUUUCUACCUGAAGGGGAAGUUGAUGCAGAGGGCUUUAUGGGGCUGAAAGAAUGAUUCUCUUCUUAUAGCUUAAAAGUAAAAAUGAAUGCUCUCUUCUUGGCUAAAUUAAUGUGAGCAGGGUUAGGUGUUACCUGCUAUUAAAGCUAUUUCAACUGUAUCGCAGAUGAAAAACAUAGAAUAAAUCCCCAAAUUCAGUGCUGUUUGGAUGCUAAAUGUGCUUUCUUAAAAAUUAUUUUUAAGAAAUGACUACUCAUAUGAGUAACAUAUAUCUUGGUUUUUAUUUGAAAGGCGUGCUAUAGAGUUACUAAGUUGGUUGAUAUCCCUGCCAAGUACCUAUCCAAUGUGUUGUUGAAAUCUUCAGGGAUAGGGUCUUCACACCCUCCUGGGGUUGUCUUGAUGAUUACAGCACCCAGCAUAUUAUGGUAUGGUCAUUUGUACCUGCUUUAAGCUGAGAGCACCUGGACGUCUGAGAGAAAGCUGAAUGAUCAGGGAGGUGAAUUUGUUGCUCUAGGCUUGUAAUUUUACCCCUAGAGAACAGGAGGGAUUGAACCGUUCAGUGUGGGCGUUGGCUCGCAGUUGGCCCCUCUGCUCACAAGGCCAGCCAUCCUUGUCUUUUUCCUUCCACACAGUGCAUCAGGCGGUAGCAGGUCACAGGUAGGCUGGAGACCCCGGCUGGGAACUU